AACGAACGCUGGCGGCAGGCUUAACACAUGCAAGUCGAGCGCCCCGCAAGGGGAGCGGCAGACGGGUGAGUAACGCGUGGGAACGUACCUUUUGGUUCGGAACAACUCCGGGAAACUGGAGCUAAUUCCGGAUAAGCCCUAACGGGGAAAGAUUUAUCGCCGAAAGAUCGGCCCGCGUCUGAUUAGCUAGUUGGUGAGGUAACGGCUCACCAAGGGGACGAUCAGUAGCUGGUCUGAGAGGAUGAGCAGCCACACUGGGACUGAGACACGGCCCAGACUCCUGCGGGAGGCAGCAGUGGGGAAUAUUGGACAAUGGGCGCAAGCCUGAUCCAGCCAUGCCGCGUGAGUGAUGAAGGCCUUAGGGUUGUAAAGCUCUUUUGUCCGGGAAGAUAAUGACUGUACCGGAAGAAUAAGCCCCGGCUAACUUCGUG
rnacentral:rRNA from 1 species